GUUAAGCGACUAAGCGUACACGGUGGAUGCCCUGGCAGUCAGAGGCGAUGAAGGGCGUGCUAAUCUGCGAUAAGCGCCGGUAAGGUGAUAUGAACCGUUAUAACCGGCGAUACCCGAAUGGGGAAACCCAGUGUGAUUCGUCACACUAUCAUUAACUGAAUCCAUAGGUUAAUGAGGCGAACCGGGGGAACUGAAACAUCUAAGUACCCCGAGGAAAAGAAAUCAACCGAGAUUCCCCCAGUAGCGGCGAGCGAACGGGGAGGAGCCCAGAGCCUGAAUCAGCAUGUGUGUUAGUGGAAGCGUCUGGAAAGGUGCGCGAUACAGGGUGACAGCCCCGUACACAAAAGCGCAUGUGCUGUGAGCUCGAUGAGUAGGGCGGGACACGUGGUAUCCUGUCUGAAUAUGGGGGGACCAUCCUCCAAGGCUAAAUACUCCUGACUGACCGAUAGUGAACCAGUACCGUGAGGGAAAGGCGAAAAGAACCCCGGCGAGGGGAGUGAAAAAGAACCUGAAACCGUGUACGUACAAGCAGUGGGAGCACAGGUUUACCUGUGUGACUGCGUACCUUUUGUAUAAUGGGUCAGCGACUUAUAUUCUGUAGCAAGGUUAACCGUAUAGGGGAGCCGUAGGGAAACCGAGUCUUAACCGGGCGUUAAGUUGCAGGGUAUAGACCCGAAACCCGGUGAUCUAGCCAUGGGCAGGUUGAAGGUUGGGUAACACUAACUGGAGGACCGAACCGACUAAUGUUGAAAAAUUAGCGGAUGACCUGUGGCUGGGGGUGAAAGGCCAAUCAAACCGGGAGAUAGCUGGUUCUCCCCGAAAGCUAUUUAGGUAGCGCCUCGUGAAUUCAUCUCCGGGGGUAGAGCACUGUUUCGGCUAGGGGGCCAUCCCGGCUUACCAACCCGAUGCAAACUGCGAAUACCGGAGAAUGUUAUCACGGGAGACACACGGCGGGUGCUAACGUCCGUCGUGAAGAGGGAAACAACCCAGACCGCCAGCUAAGGUCCCAAAGUCAUGGUUAAGUGGGAAACGAUGUGGGAAGGCCCAGACAGCCAGGAUGUUGGCUUAGAAGCAGCCAUCAUUUAAAGAAAGCGUAAUAGCUCACUGGUCGAGUCGGCCUGCGCGGAAGAUGUAACGGGGCUAAACCAUGCACCGAAGCUGCGGCAGCGAACGUAUCACCCAAGACAACUUUACGGAGUUGACGAUUGACGGAGCGAAGCGACGUCAAAGCGUUCAUUAAAGUCGAGUUGGCUUAGGGAUACGUUCGUUGGGUAGGGGAGCGUUCUGUAAGCCUGUGAAGGUGUGUCGUGAGGCAUGCUGGAGGUAUCAGAAGUGCGAAUGCUGACAUAAGUAACGAUAAAGCGGGUGAAAAGCCCGCUCGCCGGAAGACCAAGGGUUCCUGUCCAACGUUAAUCGGGGCAGGGUGAGUCGACCCCUAAGGCGAGGCCGAAAGGCGUAGUCGAUGGGAAACGGGUUAAUAUUCCCGUACUUGGUGUUACUGCGAAGGGGGGACGGAGAAGGCUAUGUUGGCCGGGCGACGGUUGUCCCGGUUUAAGCGUGUAGGUGUGUGUUCCAGGUAAAUCCGGUUCACUUUAACACUGAGGCGUGACGACGAGGCACUACGGUGCUGAAGCAACAAAUGCCCUGCUUCCAGGAAAAGCCUCUAAGCAUCAGGUAACAUCAAAUCGUACCCCAAACCGACACAGGUGGUCAGGUAGAGAAUACCAAGGCGCUUGAGAGAACUCGGGUGAAGGAACUAGGCAAAAUGGUGCCGUAACUUCGGGAGAAGGCACGCUGACACGUAGGUGAAGUGAUUUACUCAUGGAGCUGAAGUCAGUCGAAGAUACCAGCUGGCUGCAACUGUUUAUUAAAAACACAGCACUGUGCAAACACGAAAGUGGACGUAUACGGUGUGACGCCUGCCCGGUGCCGGAAGGUUAAUUGAUGGGGUCAGCGCAAGCGAAGCUCCUGAUCGAAGCCCCGGUAAACGGCGGCCGUAACUAUAACGGUCCUAAGGUAGCGAAAUUCCUUGUCGGGUAAGUUCCGACCUGCACGAAUGGCGUAAUGAUGGCCAGGCUGUCUCCACCCGAGACUCAGUGAAAUUGAACUCGCUGUGAAGAUGCAGUGUACCCGCGGCAAGACGGAAAGACCCCGUGAACCUUUACUAUAGCUUGACACUGAACAUUGAGCCUUGAUGUGUAGGAUAGGUGGGAGGCUUUGAAGUGUGGACGCCAGUCUGCAUGGAGCCGACCUUGAAAUACCACCCUUUAAUGUUUGAUGUUCUAACGUGGACCCGUAAUCCGGGUUGCGGACAGUGUCUGGUGGGUAGUUUGACUGGGGCGGUCUCCUCCUAAAGAGUAACGGAGGAGCACGAAGGUUGGCUAAUCCUGGUCGGACAUCAGGAGGUUAGUGCAAUGGCAUAAGCCAGCUUGACUGCGAGCGUGACGGCGCGAGCAGGUGCGAAAGCAGGUCAUAGUGAUCCGGUGGUUCUGAAUGGAAGGGCCAUCGCUCAACGGAUAAAAGGUACUCCGGGGAUAACAGGCUGAUACCGCCCAAGAGUUCAUAUCGACGGCGGUGUUUGGCACCUCGAUGUCGGCUCAUCACAUCCUGGGGCUGAAGUAGGUCCCAAGGGUAUGGCUGUUCGCCAUUUAAAGUGGUACGCGAGCUGGGUUUAGAACGUCGUGAGACAGUUCGGUCCCUAUCUGCCGUGGGCGCUGGAGAACUGAGGGGGGCUGCUCCUAGUACGAGAGGACCGGAGUGGACGCAUCACUGGUGUUCGGGUUGUCAUGCCAAUGGCACUGCCCGGUAGCUAAAUGCGGAAGAGAUAAGUGCUGAAAGCAUCUAAGCACGAAACUUGCCCCGAGAUGAGUUCUCCCUGAGACUUAGAGUCUCCUGAAGGAACGUUGAAGACGACGACGUUGAUAGGCCGGGUGUGUAAGCGCAGCGAUGCGUUGAGCUAACCGGUACUAAUGAACCGUGAGGCUUAACCUUACA
rnacentral:rRNA from 1 species